rnacentral:tRNA from 1 species
AUUAGCUCAGCUGGUAGAGCAACUGACUCUUAAUCAGUGGGUCACAGGUUCGAUCCCUGCAUG